UUUUGGACAAUGGGCGCAAGCCUGAUCCAGCAAUGCCGCGUGAGGGAAGAAGGGCCUUCGGGUUGUAAGGCUCUUUUGUCAGGGAAGAAACGGUGAGCUUUAAUACAGUUUGCUAAUGACGGUACCUGAAGAAUAAGCACCGGCUAACUACGUGCCAGCAGCCGCGGUAAUACGUAGGGUGCAAGCGUUAAUCGGAAUUACUGGGCGUAAAGCGUGCGCAGGCGGUUAUGUAAGUCAGAUGUGAAAUCCCCGGGCUCAACCUGGGAAUGGCAUUUGAGACUGCAUGGCUAGAGUGUGUCAGAGGGGGGUAGAAUUCCACGUGUAGCAGUGAAAUGCGUAGAGAUGGGAGGAAUACCGAUGGCGAAGGCAGCCCCCUGGGAUAACACUGACGCUCAUCACAAA
rnacentral:rRNA from 1 species